ensembl:lncRNA
CUGAGUUUUUAUUUGGUCCAGAGACAAAAAAAAGUUGCAAAAGAGAGGAUCCUCACUCAGUUGAAGGAUACACUGAGGAAACCACUCCACUCCACUCCAUGCAGAACCAAUCCAUUACAUAGUGAGGAGGAAGUUGAAUCCGAAACGGUGGACACAAACGUGGAUUUGUUCAAUUACCCAGGGAAUUCUCAAUCAACCAGACAAAAAAAGGUUGGAAAGGAGAGGGUCCUCACUCAGCUGAAGGAUACACUGAGGAAACCACUCCACUCUGAUCCACGCAGAACCAAUCCGUUACAUAGUGAGGAGGAAGUUCAAGCCGAAACCGUGGACACAAAUGUGGAUUUGUUCGAUUACCCAGAGAAUUUUCAACCAACCGAUACCUUAGAUGCUGCUGAGGCAAGUGGAGAGAGCGUGGAACAGCCAUUAUUUGUCAGUGGUGAAGUGUUGAAAGCUUUGAAAGAAAUUCCCACCUUAGUGCAGUGUGUCAAGGAACUAAUAUCCUCAAUGAACAGAGGGAUCGAUACAGCAAGCACAAGCUCAGGGUCCUCCAGCUCAGCCCAAGAGAUGGUAUGUUAUUGUAUGUGUUUUGUGAAAUACUAAUCAUUCAAAACAAAAAUUUUAACUAUUAAUUUACUCUUAGCUAAGCUCCGCCCUCCUUAGAUACUGUUGCUACGCCUGGCAAACUUUCACGCCUGGCACGUCUAUUCGGUUGUUAAGUUGUGACGUAACCACUGCUGUUUCCGGGUCCUAAGGCCGUUGUCUUUCUACUGCUUUUGCAUGAGUUUUACUAUGGUUUUACCAUACAGCAGUGCUGCGUCCUGUGUUGUUUAAAUAGAUCCGAGUUUAAAAGAACAAGUGACUGUCAACAGUCAUUUUACUUUUCCCUGUGACGAGAAAGACAAGAGGAAAUGGCUGCAGUUGAUAACGUAAGUUACAAAUAUUAAACAAAUAAAGAAACUUUGGCGUCAGUUGGUGCUGCUAAC